GGGCAGACGCCCCAGGGCAGACGCACACAGUGACCCUCCCCUGAGUGUGGCCCUGGGGCAGGCCACAAGGCCGGCCAGCUCUAAGGACGAGGCCACGCUGCAGGGCCAGCCCUCCCUGCAGAGAGGAGGCGGGAGGGGCUGGUCAGGACGCCUCGCUGCUGCCCCUGAGGGUAGGGGACCCCAUGCUCGGGAAUGGGGGAGCCUCCAGGAACGGGAAGCCAGCAAAGGGAGCUGGUCCUGGGCCCAGAACCAGGAAAUUCUGGAACAGUCUGAAUGGACUUGGAGGAUGAGCUCACGCACCCAGUGAGUGGGCGGCACAGACCACCUCUCCACGGGCCUGGGGAGACCCUGGGCACAGGACCCGGCCUCACGCCCGAUGCCAGGCCUCCGGAGCCGAGGGCCACCAGCCCUGCUCUGCAGUGUGGACGGUUGGCACCAUGGCUGGCACAGACUGGGGUGACGUCACUGGGUGUCCCCACUGGGGAGGUGACUUGCUUUUCUCAGCACUGAGGAUGGAGCCCAGGCCUCGCACAUGCUAGGGAAGCGCUGACCACCGGGCUGCACCCAGCCCUGAAGGGCUGGCCUGGACCUUGCGGUCCUCUGCUCAGGCUCCCGGGCCACUGGAAUGGCAGGCGUGGUCACUGCGCCGGGCGGGGGUUGGCAUUUUGCUGGCGCCCUCCCUGGGCUCGUCUAGCUCAUGUAGCGGGACAGCCCGGCGGCUGGACGCCACGCCAGCACCCAGCCUGCGUGGCCCCUGCCCCGCGCAGGCCCAGGAGCAGCUGUGGCACUGAUACUGGGGCAGCUGCUGGUGACUUCUCCAUCUGUGGCCGCGGGUUCGGUGCUUCCUGAAACAGGCUCCCAGGGUGACGCGUGCCUCCCAGGGUGACGUGUGGCACAGGAAGUCGCCUCACGUGGCCGGGCUCCCUGCUGGUGGUUAUCCUGCAGCUGCCCAAGGCCUGCUCUGCCACCUCCCGUCACAGCAGGGCGACGGUGCGGCUGCGAGUCAGAGAGGGCGCUGGGGAGGGGACGGGCAGCAGCGACUCCCUGUCCUCAGGGAACGGAGCUGCGUCCACCUCACUUGGAAGCUUCCGGAAGGUCACUCCUGCCCGCCCCCCCCCCCGCCAGGCCCUGUGGCCUGCCCCGCCCGACCCUGCCGGUCAUCAGAAAGUUAGGAAAACAAGAGCCUAGCAGCCAGGGGACGGUCAGGCAGGGACGUGGAGCCCCGGCCGUGGAGGACACUGCUGCGGCCCGGGGUUCGGGAACAGGGGCCAGCUGUUUACCCAGGACGAGGUCCAGCAAGAUGGACGCUGGGAGGGGCGGCAUCGCCAGGGGUUGCGGGGAGC
rnacentral:lncRNA from 1 species